rnacentral:rRNA from 1 species
GACGAACGCUGGCGGCGUGCCUAACACAUGCCAGUAGAACGCUGAAGGAGGAGUUUGCUUCUCUGGACGAGUUGCGAACGGGUGAGUAACGCGUAGGUAACCUGCCUGGUAGUGGGGGAUAACUUUUGGAAACGAUAGCUAAUACCGCAUAAGAGCAGAUGUUGCAUGACAUUUGCUUAAAAGUUGCAAUUGUGGCGCUUGGAGACGCACCUGCGUUGUAUGUUGUUGUUGGUGGGGUAUCGGCUCACCAAGGCGAGGAUGGUUCGCCGGCCUGAGAGGGUGACCGGCCCCAUUGGGACUGAGGAACGGCCCAGAGUCAUACGGGAGGAAGCAGUGGGGAUUAUUGCACACUGGGCGGAAGCCUGAUGCAGCGACGCCGCGUGCGGGAUGACGGCCUUCAGGGUGUAAACCGCUUUCGCCUGUGACGAAGCGUGAGUGACGGUAAUGUGUAAAGAAGCACCGGCUAACUACGUG